rnacentral:rRNA from 1 species
UCUUCCGCAAUGGACGAAAGUCUGACGGAGCAACGCCGCGGGAGUGAUGAAGGCCUUCGGGUCGUAAAACUCUGUUGUUAGGGAAGAACAAGGGCUAGUGGAAUAAGCUGGCACCUUGACGGUACCUAACCAGAAAGCGACGGCUAACUACGUGCCAGCAGCCGUGGUAAUACGUAGGUGGCAAGCGUUAUCCGGAAUUAUUGGGCGUAAAGCGCGCGCAGGUGGUGUCUUAAGUCUGAUGUGAAAGCCCGCGGCUCAACCGUGGAGGGUCAUUGGAAACUGGGAGACUUGAGUGCAGAAGAGGAAAGUGGAAUUCCAUGUGUAGCGGUGAAAUGCGUAGAGAUAUGGAGGAACACCAGUGGCGAAGGCGACUUUCUGGUCUGUAACUGACACUGAGGCGCGAAAGCGUGGGGAGCAAACAGG